rnacentral:rRNA from 1 species
GACGAACGCUGGCGGCGUGCUUAACACAUGCAAGUCGAGCGGUAAGGCCCUCGGGUACGACGAGCGGCGAACGGGUGAGUAACACGUGGGUGACCUGCCUCUAGCUCUGGGAUAAGCCUGGGAAACUAGGGUCGUAAUACCGGAUAUGACUCCACGGCGCAUGUUGUGGGGUGGAAAGCCUUGUGUGGCUAGAGAUGGGCCCGCGGCC